GACGAACGCUGGCGGCGUGCCUAAUACAUGCAAGUCGAACGCAGUGGGGACGGGUGAGUAACACGUGGGUAACCUCCCAUCAGAGGGGAUAACACUUGGAAACAGGUGCUAAACCGAUACUGAUGGAUGGACCCGCGGUGCAUUAGCUAGUUGGUGAGGUAACGGCUCACCAAGGCCAGGAUGCAUAGCCGACCGGGGAGGGUGAUCGGCCCGACUGGGACGGAGACAGGGCCAAGACGCCUAGGGGGGGAAGCAGGGGGGAAGUUUGGGAAAUGGACGAAAGUCUGCACGAGCAACGCGGCGGGAGUGAAGAGGUUUUGCGAAUCGAAAAACGCUGUGGUUAGAAAAGGGGUAUCAAUCAAAAAAGCCACGGCUAACUACGUGCCAGCAGCCGCGGUAAUUC
rnacentral:rRNA from 1 species